rnacentral:pre_miRNA from 1 species
ACAACAUUCGGACCGUCGGUCUACAGAACAACAUCGCCCGCUCGGUGGAAGAUCUUCCUUUUGUCGU